GAAGUUGCUGAACUUUAAACCCUGUGUUAGAUUGAUUUCAAGCACGCGAAGGCAACAGCACAACAGAACAAAAUCACAACAUUUGGGAAACAGGAUUCAAAAUGCUCAGAUUGAAUAUAAAAAUAUCACAAUCUUUUAGGUUUGUUUACAUUUUCCAAUUGGAUAUUAGUUUUCUUGCAAAGCCUAUUAGAGAUAAGGUUGGUCUUUAGUCCAGUUAAAUUUAAUGUAAAACCACACUCAAGAUAAUAGCUCCCUUAAAUAUAUGUGCAAUUGCAUAUACAGUGCUCAAUUUUUGCUUUUCAUUAGAUUUAUUUGCCCCACAUACUCAUCAUAUUCUCAUCGAAUACUUUCUAUCUGAGUAACAUUGAAAGUAUGUGCGAGAUUUACUUAUGUGUAUUCCAUACCACAUGGUAUAAACGAAGAUGGCUGCCGAAGAAGUGUUACAUCGUUAACUUAAAGAUAACUUGAAGGUGUGGAAAUACUUUUAAAUCAACUACAACGACUGCGGGUUUUGGAAACAGCUAGCAAAGAAGGAUGGAACUUUAGCGGGAGCAAAUUGAACGAGGUGUCGUAAAACUAUUUAUUUCCUAAUAUUUUUACAGAUAAUAUGUAUUGAACUUUGGAGUAACGAAAAAAGUUUCUGUGUAACAAUGUUUCCAAUAUAACUGAUUAACAGAACAAAAUUGUA